rnacentral:sRNA from 1 species
CUCGAGGGAUUGCCAGUUUCUUCUAUUUCAUCCGG